rnacentral:tRNA from 1 species
ACGUCUAUAGUCUAACUGGAUAAAACAAAUCUCUCCUAAAGAUUAGUUCUGAGUUCGAGUCUCGGUAGGCGUG